ACACCGAUGGUGAAGUGGUUAUCAUGCUUGCCUUCCACAAAUUGACGGGAUUCGAACCCGUUGAAUGGGGCAGCAAGCGGCACGGGUUCGAUUCCCGUUCGGUGUA